ACAGACUGAAAAUGACCCCAGGUCUGCCUGUGAUCUGAGGUCAGAUAACUGUGCCUAUAGCACUGUGGUGCAUAAAGCUUAUCGCGUGUGUCUAUUGGUGGCAGCGUGAUAAAACCCAUGUACCUACAAAC
rnacentral:snoRNA from 1 species